rnacentral:lncRNA from 1 species
AAUAAAUUACAGGGUGUGUGUGUGUGUGUGCAAGUGCGCGUGUGUACAUACUUUGGGUUUUUUUCCUUCUUUAGAACUAUGCUUCAUUAUAUAAAGAUAUUCACUGACAAUUAGACAUACAGUGUCAGAAGGGAUGUAAUUUCCCUAUAGGUAUUUAACGAUACUGAAAUGUAGGUCACACCCCUAAAAAAUGAUGCCCAAUUUUUUGUGCAUCAAUAACUACCACAAGUAUAGAUUUUCCACCGCUGCUGCCACCAUCACAACUGUGAACAUCCCCUCCACAGCCCAACAUUGAGGCCUUAAUUCCUAUAACCCUAAAGAGAUAAGAAUGCUGACUGCAUUACUUAGGACAGGCUGGAUAAUGCUGUGGGAACACACCACCUCUACCUAAAUCGCCACGACUUGUAGUAACUGAAGCUUACUUCUUGCUUACAUGACAUGUUCUACCUCGGUCGGGAGGUCUUUCCAUCACAGCCCCUCAUCACGGGACCAGACUGUGUAGGCUCUCUCUUGGCCUGUGCUUCAACCAAUGUAGGGGGAAGGGGGUUAAGCAAAUCACACGGCGACUCUUAAAGCUUCAUCUGGGAAGUGAUACAUGUGACCUCUGCCACAUUUCAUGGCAAGCCACUUUCAUGGUCAUGCCUAGACUUAAAGGAGGCAAGAAAGUACAACUGUACUGAGUAUCCCCAAGGAAGGCCAUCAGGAUAUCUGUGAGCCUCCCUAAUGACCACAGGAGUCUCACAAAGGCUUGAAAGAAACACACACACGCGCAGACACACACACACACACACCCCCAUACCAGAGCACAUAAAGACUAUCAUUUGAUUCCUAAGGCACACAGAUCCUAUCUUCUUUCUUACAUUCCUAGCGCCCGGUGCAGGGAACUCAAUGUCUCCUUGACAAAAGAAAUAACAGAGCAGUGGGGCCAAGUGUCUCUGAUAGGUCUCACUUCUUAGCACCCCAGGGUUAAUAUGGCAGGUUAAGCUGGAAAUUUCUUUCUGCUUUUAAAAACAGUGAUAACAACAGGCUGGGUGUGGUGGCUCAGGCCUAUAAUCCCACACUCUGGGAGGCCGAGGCUAGCAGAUCGGAGGCCUCGAGUUUGAGACCAGCCUGGCAAAACCUCUUCUCUACUAAAAAUACAAAAAUUAGCUGGGCAUGGUGUAGCACACCUGUAGUCCCAGCUACUUGGGAGGUGGAGGCAGGAAAAUUACUUGAACCCAAGAGGCAGAGGUUGCGGUGAGCUGAGAUCGUGCCACUGCACUCCAGCCUGGGUGACAGAGCAAGAC